rnacentral:rRNA from 1 species
CCCUAUGGGGUGCAGCAGGAGGACCUGACCAUCACAGGGAAGACCUUGAGAGUCUUCGCCGCAGCCUCGGCGGGUAAGGACAAGAACCCUGAAUCCAGUAUGAUGGAUAAAAUCGACCGCAUCGAGAUCGAAGGGGACGUGAAAAUUUCUCAACAGGAUAAGGUCGCGACUGCCGAUAAAGCAGUGUACUACCACGAUGAACAGAAGAUCGUCCUCACCGGCAAUCCCGUGGUCUCCCAGGGGGCGGACAAGGUCCAGGGGCGCAUGAUCACUCUGUACAUCGAGCAGGGUCGCAGCGUCGGGGAAGGCGGAGCCCAGACGCCCGUCCAGGCCGUUCUGCAUCCGUCCCGGAAGGAUUGAACGGUGGUCGAUCAACAGAAAACUUUACAGGUCCAGGACCUGGUCAAGCGAUAUGGUGGAAGGUACGUCGGCAACCGGGAGAGC